rnacentral:rRNA from 1 species
UUGAAAUACAACUUUCAACAGUGGAUGUCUAGGCUCGCACACCGAUGAAGAACGCUGCGAACUGCGAUACGUAAUGCGAAUUGCAGAAUUCAGUGAGUCAUCAAAAUUUUGAACGCAUAUUGCACUUCCGGGUUAGUCCUGGGAGUAUGUUUGUAUCAGUGUCCGU